rnacentral:rRNA from 1 species
CAGUCGCCACGGUAAUACGUAGGGUGCAAGCGUUAAUCGGAAUUACUGGGCGUAAAGCGUGCGCAGGCGGUUAUAUAAGACAGAUGUGAAAUCCCCUGGCUCAACCUGGGAACUGCAUUUGUGACUGUAUAGCUAGAGUACGGCAGAGGGGGAUGGAAUUCCGCGUGUAGCAGUGAAAUGCGUAGAUAUGCGGAGGAACACCGAUUGCGAAGGCAAUCCCCUGGGCCUGUACUGACGCUCAUGCACGAAAGCGUGGGGAGCAAACAGGAUUAGAUACCCCUGUAGUCCCUGUCUCUUAUAC